ensembl:lncRNA
ACAUACAUGCACGCUGUAGACCUUUAACCACAUAAGGCUGCAUCAGAUUUAUUUAAUAAUCCAUGAAGCACUUCAUCCAGUAGCUUUUCUCUCCGUGACAACAAACGCAGACUUUUAUUAUGUUGUUAGCAGUUAGUAGAGUAGGCGAGGGAGGAGCAGAGUAAAUUUAUUCUGACGUCACACAGGAGCAAUUCGACUAGGAGCAAUUGCAAUUCAGAUAUCUUAAACUAUAAUUGUGACUAGUCGAAAUUAAAUUAGAGAUAUUACAUUUGUGGAUGAAUGACGCGUCCAUUGAAGAUAUCUAUAAAGUAAUUACAGAUAUCUUAAAUGGAGUUUUGACUAGUCAUAAAGUAUUUAUCUCUAAUCCGAUUUUUUACUAGUGCAGUUAUAAUAGCAGAUAUCUCUAAUUGUGAUUGUGACUAGUGGAAUUAUAAUUAUGACUAUCCGAAUUACAAUUGUGACUAUCCGAAAUUAUAUUUAUGGAUAGUCAAACCAAGUUUUAAAUGCUAACACGGCUUGCGAUAUUGGACUAGCACCUGUAGAGAAGCAUGUCCAUUGCCUGCAGUCAGACACAAAUAUCCCGCUACGUUUUUCUUAUUUAUUACGCUACGUUUUUUUUUUGCCUGAUGUAGAUAUUCUUUUAUGAAGGGUAACUUUGUUAAUUGUAAAACAAUUAAAAUAAUAGGCCUAACUAAAUGUCUUGUUUUCUCUUUUAGGAGUUUUUUUCUUUCUAAGCAGGAUGGCACUAGGAAAAUUUUAUUCACCCUAUUGGGUUUGUGGUGUGCUGUUCAUUCUACAACUAGAGUUGGCGCUUCAACAACAGAGUCUACAACUUCAGGAUAUACAGCUUCAGAAAUCACAACUGUACUUUCCACUCCAACCUCAGCAACAUCAGACCCGGCCACAUCUGAUUCUACAGGAACAACAACGGUUAUAUCUUCAGAAACACUUGCUUCAACAACCAUGCCUACAUCUUCAGAAACGACAGCUGCAGUUGAAACCACAAAUACUGCAUCCACAACCACAACUGAGCCUUCCACUACUAAAGAUGUGACAACGAUAUCACUUGAAUUCACAACAACUGAACUCACUACAACUUCAGAGAAAACAACAGCAGAAACCACAACUACAGCUUCAUCAACCACACCUAUAACAACAAACGAUCCAACAACAUCAACAGCUGUAACUUCA